CUGGUUACUGUCCAUGGGAUAUAAACUUUCUGUUUAUCAUGGAAAACGAAAUGCGCAUUGGUUUUUUGUGUGAAUUUAGUAGGUGUUUUGAAGAAAGCUUUAUGAUGUGAGUUUGCCUCACCAACCAUAUUGAUUUCCUCAAUCGAUCAAAGAAGUCUCCAUACGGCAUCGAGGAUGCCUCUAUUUUAACUUGACGUGCCGAGGAUUCUAUCACAAGGGAGCCAGCGAGCUAUCGGGAUCGAAGGAGAUUAACGUAACAUCGAAGACGUGCUUCAACAACAAUUAUGUCGGGUUAUGUAUCUUCAUCAAGAAAAUCUGAUAAACACAAAUAUUGGCCACAGAUGACUAUGCUGCGAUACUUACUUCAAUGACACGAGCAGAAUAAAUGCAGCGAUAAGAAGAACGAGAGAGGUUGAAUAUCCUAUGAAAGAUACACGUUUGAUCUUCCGCAGAGAUCUGGACAUAAUUUGGAUGUACUCCAGGUAAUUAUCGCUGAAACAGCCCAAGUAAGCCGCAGGUUGCCACGUUCCCUCCGGCGAACACGUCCGAAAAACAAAUUCUGCAAGUUAUUCCGGAACAAAGAGACAGGCUCUCAAACAGAUGGAGUCUGACAAAAUAUUUCGAGUUUCACGUCUGGUACAGCAGUUAGGCGUUGCUCCAAAAUGAAGGAUAUCUACAAUGGAUUUCGAGCCUAAACGACUUCACGUAUCCUCGAGCUUAGUAGAUCGUUCAAACUGACGAGAAACUUUCGUUCGCGGGUACGGACAAGUGGGACUACAAAACGAAGGCAGACAAGUUUGCAAAGUGAAUCGCCCUGACGCGUCCUUCGGUCAUCUCGAUUUGAUUCUUUUCAAGCGAAAAGUUUACGUAAUAAGCCCACGAUCACCCAAGCCCUGAAAAGAUGUUGGAUGCUGUAUCAGUGAAGUCCUCGUGUAACUCAUCCGUUCAUCCGGCUCAAUCGCUAUUUUUUCAAGGAAAAAACCCACAAAUAUAUCAAAGAUCUUCUACUCGCCAAGCACCAAACGUCAAAAUCCACUUGAUAUUUUGUGACCCGGUCCACCACAUCUGGGCAAGGCUGUCUGUACACAAACUAACCCGGUCCUACUUUUCGUACGGACGCUAUACACUUAC
rnacentral:lncRNA from 1 species